rnacentral:rRNA from 1 species
GACGAACGCUGGCGGCGUGCCUAAUACAUGCAAGUAGAACGCUGAAGGAGGAGCUUGCUCUUCUGGAUGAGUUGCGAACGGGUGAGUAACGCGUAGGUAACCUGCCUGGUAGCGGGGGAUAACUAUUGGAAACGAUAGCUAAUACCGCAUAACAGUAGAUGUUGCAUGACAUUUGCUUAAAAGGUGCAAUUGCACCACUACCAGAUGGACCUGCGUUGUAUUAGCUAGUUGGUGGGGUAACGGCUCACCAAGGCGACGAUACAUAGCCGACCUGAGAGGGUGAUCGGCCACACUGGGACUGAGACACGGCCCAGACUCCUACGGGAGGCAGCAGUAGGGAAUCUUCGGCAAAGGACGGAAGUCUGACCGAGCAACGCCGCGUGAGUGAAGAAGGUGUUCGGAUCGUAAAGCUCUGUUGUAAGAGAAGAACGAGUGUGAGAGUGGAAAGUUCACACUGUGACGGUAUCUUACCAGAAAGGGACGGCUAACUACGU